rnacentral:misc_RNA from 1 species
UGGCUUGUUCCAAGAGUCCCGGAU